rnacentral:rRNA from 1 species
AUUGAACGCUGGCGGCAGGCCUAACACAUGCAAGUCGAGCGGUAGAGCGAAGCUUGCUUCUCUUGAGAGCGGCGGACGGGUGAGUAAUGCCUAGGAAUCUGCCUGGUAGUGGGGGAUAACGUUCGGAAACGGACGCUAAUACCGCAUACGUCCUACGGGAGAAAGCAGGGGACCUUCGGGCCUUGCGCUCUCAGAUGAGCCUAGGUCGGAUUAGCUAGUUGGUGGGGUAAUGGCUCACCAAGGCGACGAUCCGUAACUGGUCUGAGAGGAUGAUCAGUCACACUGGAACUGAGACACGGUCCAGACUCCUACGGGAGGCAGCAGUGGGGAAUAUUGGACAAUGGGCGAAAGCCUGAUCCAGCCAUGCCGCGUGUGUGAAGAAGGUCUUCGGAUUGUAAAGCACUUUAAGUUGGGAGGAAGGGCAGUAAAUUAAUACGUUGCUGUUUUGACGUUACCGACAGAAUAAGCACCGGCUAACUCGGUG